AUAAAAGUGAGCAUAUACCACAAAUGCUACGCCUCACUCCCAAAUAAAGUUGGGUUGACGAUACAAGUGAGCAUAUGAUAUGGCAUAUUCUAACGACUCAUCUUUAUAAUAACAUGGCACUUCACCUUUAGUUUUAAUCUAUUGUAGAGCAAACAGUGAGAUGCAAGGUAGCUCCAUCAAUGAACUCGACAUCAACCGAGGUCUGAAGCUAAAUGUGCAAGCAGAGGCAUAACACAGUUUGUCGCAAUAGAGAAAGCAGAAGAAGACGUAGGAUAGCGGUCGAAUAACAACACCUAAUACUGACUCGAAUUUAGCUUAAAGGAUAUAUAUAUAUCCUCUUUCUUUCUAUGAAUGGUUUGGUAUAAAAGACCGAGAAAGACAAAGAUGUGAUGAUUUUUUCAGGGGCUGCUACAAAGUUGAUGAAGGUAACCUUAACAGAUACAAAGACGUGAAUGACUUUUUAAAGGGCUGAUCUGGAUUUGACCAACGUAGCCCUAUACUCCAUGUGUUCCAUUUUAUGUGGUGAUCUUAAGAGUAUGAGAGUCAAACUAUUUGAUUUUUGUGGGAAUUAGGCAAAGAAAUAUUGACAUAUUUGAAACACAGUACUAUGAGUCACAAUUGUUUAUAAUUUAGAAUAUUUGAUAAAAUCAUGGUUAAAUUAAAGAAGGAUUUCUUUCUAAAUAGUUAAUAUAUGAUGUUACAUAAAGUAAAACAGUACUCUCAUAUCAUAUUCGGAGUAUUCAUUUCAGUCUUUUACCAACCUAUAAACACUUUAUCCACACUCUACCAGGUACAUUUCAAUAAUCAAAGAAUGUUACGUGGUCUUAGACGAUCAGCCAGAGGUUCAGCGAGUUAGACUCCACUUUUUUGUUUAAUACUCCUAUACAAAAUGGAUGUCAGGGACACUAUAUAUUACAAAAACUUAAGAGCCGCCUAUUAAUAUUUGUAACUUGUCAACUUAAGCUGCUGAAUAAAAUAUUGGAUAAGGGAGGCUAUGAGAUUAUCCUUCUUUAUUGAACGAUAUCUGGUCGCAAGUCACAACCUACUAUAUAUAUAUAUAUAUAUAUCCCCAACUCCUUUACUUGCUUGCCAUCUCUUCUUCACCAAUUCCGCAAGUAAAAAAGGUCAAAAUGAGACUUUUGGAGUUCACAGCUCUUUCUUCUCUACUAGUCUUGUUUCUGCUCCUGGCUGUCUCGGCAGAACAAUGCGGUAGACAGGCGGGAGGUGCACGUUGUCCCUCGGGAAUGUGCUGUAGCAACUUUGGAUGGUGCGGAAACACUCAAGACUAUUGUGGUCCGGGGAAGUGUCAAAGCCAGUGUCCUUCUGGCCCUGGACCUACCCCAAGACCACCCACCCCUACUCCUGGUCCUAAUACUGGGGACAUCAGCAACAUCAUCGGCAGUUCCAUGUUUGGUCAGAUGCUCAAGCAUCGCAAUGACAAUGCAUGCCAAGGGAAGGGCUUUUACACUUAAAAUGCCUUUAUCACUGCUGCAAGAUCAUUUCGUGGCUUCGGCACCACGGGUGACACCACCAGGCGUAAAAGGGAGGUUGCUGCUUUCUUUGCCCAAACCUCUCAUGAAACUACUGGAGGAUGGGAUACAGCACCGGAUGGGAGAUACGCAUGGGGUUACUGCUACCUUAGGGAACAAGGCAACCCUCCUAGCUACUGUGUUCAAAGUUCUUAGUGGCCAUGUGCUCCUGGCCAGAAAUAUUACGGAAGAGGCCCCAUCCAAAUUUCGUACAACUACAACUACGGGCCUUGUGGGAGAGCCAUAGGGCAGAACCUCCUAAACAAUCCUGAUCUGGUGGCCACCAAUGUUGUCGUCUCAGUUAUGUCAGCAAUUUGGUUUUGGAUGACGGCUCAGUCACCGAAGCCAUCUUGUCACGAUGUGAUCACGGGGCGAUGGACACCAUCGGCGGCUGACAGAGCAGCGAACCGCCUCCCAGGAUAUGGUGUCAUAACAAACAUCAUCAAUGGGGGAUUGGAAUGUGGUCAUGGCUCUGACGCUAGGGUCCAAGAUCGUAUUGGUUUCUAUAGGAGGUACUGUUCCAUUCUUGGAGUAAGUCCUGGAGACAACAUUGACUGCGGCAACCAGAGGUCUUUUAACCCUGGUCUCUUGCUUGAGACUAUGUAAUCGCCUCAGUUGUGUUUACUUUCACCCACACCCACCCUGGUGUAAUAAUCUAUUAAUUUGUGAUAUAUAGGACCACGACUGUACCGUAUACAAUAAGCAAAGAGUUCGUUCACAAUGUACAGUGGAUGUUUCUUUUUUCUUUUUCUUUUUUUAUAUACUGGUUUGGGUACUAAUAAAUGAACAUCAAGUAAGUGUUCGGCCUUGUGUGACAUAUGUGUGCCUUCUGCUCUAGCCUCUAAGUCACCAAGCAAUUACUAUUGAUUUUAUGGUCCAUGAGGCACAAAAUUUUUAUGUGCGCAGAAUGGUUAAUUUAAAAUUCAUUAG